rnacentral:rRNA from 1 species
UACGAAGGGGGCUAGCGUUGUUCGGAAUUACUGGGCGUAAAGCGCGCGCAGGCGGUCUUCCAAGUCAGUGGUGAAAGCCCGGAGCUCAACUCCGGAACUGCCAUUGAAACUGUGAGACUGGAGUACGAGAGAGGUGAGUGGAAUUCCCAGUGUAGAGGUGAAAUUCGUAGAUAUUGGGAAGAACACCGGUGGCGAAGGCGGCUCACUGGCUCAUUACUGACGCUGAGGCACGAAAGCUAGGGGAGCAAACAGG